UGUCACUAUACCCCACUCCCUCUAACAUGUAAACUCACUGAGCAGGCCCUCAAUCCCUCUGUUACUGUGUCACUAUACCCCACUCCCUCUAACAUGUAAACUCACUGAGCAUGCCCUCAAUCCCUCUGUUACUGUCACUAUACCCCACUCCCUCUAACAUGUAAACUCACUGAGCAGGCCCUCAAUCCCUCUGUUACUGUGUCACUAUACCCCACUCCCUCUAACAUGUAAACUCACUGAGCAGGGCCCUCAAUCCCUCUGUUACUGUGUCACUAUACCCCACUCCCUCUAACAUGUAAACUCACUGAGCAGGGCCCUCAAUCCCUCUGUUACUGUGUCACUAUACCCCACUCCCUCUAACAUGUAAACUCACUGAGCAGGCCCUCAAUCCCUCUGUUACU